rnacentral:lncRNA from 1 species
UGUUCCAGAUCGAAGUCUCAGAUGGUUGAAUUAUCCUUCUGCUCCAACUCUAGAAACCUUGUCUCUGCCUUUAUUGUCCCGGCUACGUAACUACGUACCUUUCAAAGUUCUCGAUAUCUUGAUCUUCGUUUCCAACCUCCCACAACAUCAGUGAACACGUGCAUAUUCAGCUUCCCACCGAAUUACCUUCAUGGAGCAAGAUUAUCCAAUGGAAAGCGAGGCGGGACAAUGGAAAGGAACGCGGUUAGAAAUAGUUUUGGAUCGAGCAGAGAGAGAGAGAGAGAGAGAGAGAGAGAGAGCAGAAUUUUUGCGUCGCUUGUCGACGAGGAAUGUCGGUUUCGAGGUUCCAUGAAGACAUAUCAACCUUUCCACGAUACACGCGCACCCACAUUCAUUGUGCGGCAAACCCGAUAUCUCAUCGUAGGUGGAGGAGGCACGCCACGAGUUAUUGACUCGUUUGAUCCUGGGUUACGCCCCGACCUACCUUAACUCUGACUUACUAUCUUGCCACGAGAGAGGUUUCGGCCCACGACGCGACGCCGCUGAUUUCUGCCCGAUUCGAGCUCCUCGAGGAAAAUCGUCGUUUCUUUCGAAUAACGAAUAAUGAAAAUCCUUUUGGACGAGGAACCAAAGAAUAGAAGGACACGAGUUGUUUUUGUCGUCGUUUGAUUGAAGAGAAUUCGCGCUAUGGAUAUUUUUAUGUUAGCGAUUUGUUUGCAUCGUUUUGGAAUGCAAAAAUGAAACGUAAAGCAAUCAUUGGGCAAUGAUUUCCAUUAUAAUCCUGAUGUGAUACGCUUGAAACCAAUUUCCCCGAUGAACUAAGCAAAUUUACAAAUAUAUAUCGUAUGAACAAAUGAAACAGGAAUUAGCUUCUCUUUUGGGGUUCAAGCUAGGUGGUCCAUUCAAGUGGAUCCAUCAAUUGGAGGAAAAGCACAGUAGCUUAUCCCGGUAUAAUUCCAACCUGGAAGGUAUUUCUUCUUCUCCCUUCGUUGGAAGCACGAAGUUCCACGCGUCGAAUCGCCGACCUCCUCGAAGAAUGCCACACGUUACAAUCGUGCUCCAAGAAUCGAUCGAACGAAUCGGAUUCGCUUAUAGAAUUGGAAUUCCACAUUUCUUGUCACCCAAAUCGUAUUACACAUUCAAUGAGUUGACCAACGAUCGAUAUUCGAUAGCGUGUGACGCGUUAAUUUCCUUCCAUCGAUCCCUGUAAACGAAAUCCAACACCUGCAAAAUUUAAUAUUCGAAUAAAGUUACUUCGAUAAUUUAUUCAAAAGAUAAUAAUACGAAAAACGGACCAACUAUAAUAACAACGAACAAAUAGUUAUUUUGAUAAGUAAAAAAAUUUAAAGUAACUUUAUUCAACUAGUUAAUUUUUCAACUACUAUUUUUAAUAAUGCCCAAUUCUGGCGAAAAAUCGUGGAGCGUGGAGAGACUUGCCCCUAGGAGGAGAUGGCACACCUGCCCUCGAACGUGGGGAAGAGGAGAGAGGAGAGUCGCGCGCGUAUGUUGGAAGAUGCGCCGACAGACACGCCCUGGUUAAACGGUGAUGAAUGCGCGAAAAAGGGGGAGGAGGGGGUCGAAAGAUCGGUGGCAAAUCGACGCUUGUCCCCUUUUCCAUCUCGAAUCCGCCACGGGAAUGCAAAUGAUGUAUCCGUCUCUAGGAGGAUACCCAAGUCUCCUCCGUAAAACACCGUGACUUAUCAUGCUUAAUUACACGGUCUACCGUUGAAUUAUCGCCGUUUUACGAUAUUAAAGAGGUGGCAAUUAGCCGCGUUCGAUGCCGUUUUCGUUCCUUCCUUCGGGGUCUAGAUCCUUCCUUCCAUCCAAUCAAGAAUACGUCUGUGUUCGCGACGCCUGUAUAAUAUAUGUAACGCGGAAUAUAAAGCAGCAGGGCGUACCCUUUUUGAAAAUAACACGUUUCUUCGAGAGAUAGAGAUAGGCUAGGUUUCUACGUGAAAUUGUUUAUCGGGUAAUCUGGUGCACUACCCUACAGGUAUCGAAGAGUGUAGGUUCCUUGCGAGAGAAAUAUCGGUAUAGAUAUCACCUAUUACCGCAAUUAUACCUCGUAUUUCAUUUACCAUGAUUCUUUCGAUAUACUAAAAAAAAAAAAAAAAAAAAAAAGGAAGACACGCAUACGAACGUAUUUUUUUUUUUAACGAUUCAACCACGUUGACAGAAUGGAUUAAUUGUUCCAUUGAAUCUUCCAUUGAUGGAAAUGGUGAAUAACGCACGCUUGUUUACUUAAAAAAAUCGGCCGUAUCAUUUUUCUCAUUGCGCGUUGUCGGCUCAUUUUUUCGAGCGGUGGCGCUCGAAGCCGAAAAGGGGUGGAAGAUACAUAGCGCGAUGCCCUGAGCCGACGCCGACCCAUUUCUCUUUCGCGCCUCCUUCUCUCUCUCGUUAACGCGAACCUAUCGCCGUUUCAUCCACGGUGCGCGUUUAAACGCCCCCGGUCCCGUCAACCUGAUUUCACUAACGAACCCGCCAAUUUAUAUUAUCGAUCGGAUCGUGUGUCCGCAGUAGGCCAACUUGACCGAGAAUUCAUCGUUAAACCGGUACCCGGCAGCCACGCUCCACCCUUAUCGUUUGCAUUCACCAUCGUAUUGCCGGUGGCCGUUUUUUGUUUUCAAACCGUCUCUCCAACUUUCCAUCUCUUCGAAUCUCUUCUAUCGAACGAUAACCGGUCCUCUGUCCUUCCACCUACUCUAAAUAUAUAUAUAUAUAUACAUACAUACAUACAUGAUCAUUCACAAAUCGAGGAUGUUUCGAAAGAAUAGGAAUAAGGCCGAAUCGAAA